rnacentral:rRNA from 1 species
GAUCAUGGCUCAGGACGAACGCUGGCGGCGCGCCUAACACAUGCAAGUCGAACGGAGCUGAGAGGAGCUUGCUUUUCUCAGCUUAGUGGCGAACGGGUGAGUAACGCGUGAGUAACCUGCCCUGGAGGUGGGGGACAACAGUUGGAAACGACUGCUAAUACCGCAUAAGCCCACGAUCCGGCAUCGGAUUGAGGGAAAAGGAUUUAUUCGCUUCAGGAUGGACUCGCGUCCAAUUAG